rnacentral:rRNA from 1 species
GACGAACGCUGGCGGCGUGCUUAACACAUGCAAGUCGAACGGAAAGGCCCUGCUUUUGUGGGGUGCUCGAGUGGCGAACGGGUGAGUAACACGUGAGUAACCUGCCCUUGACUUUGGGAUAACUUCAGGAAACUGGGGCUAAUACCGGAUAGGAGCUCCUGCUGCAUGGUGGGGGUUGGAAAGUUUCGGCGGUUGGGGAUGGACUCGCGGCUUAUCAGCUUGUUGGUGGGGUAGUGGCUUACCAAGGCUUUGACGGGUAGCCGGCCUGAGAGGGUGACCGGCCACAUUGGGACUGAGAUACGGCCCAGACUCCUACGGGAGGCAGCAGUCGGAAAUAUUGCACAAUGGGCGGAAGCCUGAUGCAGCAACGCCGCGUGCGGGAUGACGGCCUUCGGGUUGUAAACCGCUUUCGCCUGUGACGAAGCGUGAGUGACGGUAAUGGGUAAAGAAGCACCGGCUAACUACGUG